GAAAGUGGUCAUACCGUCCUGCCUGAUCCUGUCAGAUCUUGCAAUUUAUGCAGGGCUGGGCCUGAUUAGUACUUAGAUGGGAGACCACCUUGGAAGACAAGGGGUCGUUAGAC
rnacentral:rRNA from 12 species